AGGGUUGAGAAAAGCUAGUGAGGGGAAGAAUGGCUGAAAACAGAAGGGACUGUCAGUAGUAUUAUUAAAGCUGUAACAGAUAGCUGCUCUUAGCAUCGCACGGCCAGCAGCUCCAGGGCCUCAUCCCUAGCACCUUCUCCUUGAUGUUAGCACCGGGCCGCUCUGGGACCGGAUCGGGGCGGCUCAUUGAGUGACAGCUUCAAUAAGGCUAAUUACAGUGGGCUGCAGGGCCCAUUUAUGUUGUCUGGCGACUCCACCCACUGUGGAGCCAGGGGGACUGUGUUAACUAUGGUGUUAGACCAAGUUACCUGAGAAAUCUCCACAUCCUGUUCCUGUAUUCAGAGUUAUAUUCUCAGCUGACCUGGGAUCCUACAUGACACAUCCACAGUGUUGAAGACGUUAGUCAGCCAACCUGGAAAUAGCCAGCAGGACAGCAAUGUUUGUGAAGUGCGUAGGCCAGUGUGGGAGGCUCAUUCCACAGUGGAGCCAGGACUGUUUAGAGGCCUGUUGUGUCUGGAGUCUCUCGGGUCACUUUAAUAUCAGCCCAAGGCCUUGAAUUGGCCCCCAUGUCGCUCCAGCAAUUACAGGAGGAUUCCCCUCGUCCGUCUUCCUCCCUUGCUCCCUCCCUCCCUCUGCUGCUCUUGCUGUUGCUGCUGUCUGCCACUUUGUUGCCUCUACUAAACUGUGGCCUCUCACAUUCCACUUCUUUCACUUUGUCUUCUGUUUAUCCACCACAUUUUAUUCAACACAUAACUGAUGCUGAGCACAAAGUAGGACAUAUUCUGCCCCAAAUCCUGUUUAGUAGGCCUCCAAACACUGUGUCUUUGCAAUUCCAGAGGAGAUUUGAGUGAGAACUGCUAACCCCCCGAGUCCAUCGUCAACCUUUUCAACCAUCUCUCUCUUAACUCGGUGUUUACUCUAUCAUUGAUCUGCCAGUAAACCAAGUUCCUGUCUGCCUAUUUGUGUUUAAGCGGACGCAAGCCUGCCCUGUGAGCUUGCGUGUAUACAAUAAUGCUUUUAGGGAUUGGGCCCUACGUUGGGCCUUUUAACUUCAGUCAGCACUGCAUCCUGGUAUCCUGGUGUGACUGGUUUGAGGGGGUAAUUCACUCCACCAGAAACACAGGCUUUUAGAGGUUCCACAUGUGCCUUGGCACCAGACAGAAGAAAGGCCGGUAGGUUUCAUUAAUUGUGGCAACAUUCCUGUAGCGUUGUCAGGCAGUUUUAUUAGUAUUAGCUUUGCCCGCAG